AGUGGGCCUAAAAGCAGCCAUCUUUAAAAUUGCGUCAAAGCUUAAUUGUUCUCACGCUUAAUCACCAGAUUUUAAUCUUAAUCCCCACUCAAUACUGAGUAAUUCUAUAAAACUAUAGAAAAUUUUAUGUUAAAACUAGUAACAAGAAGAGGACUCUUCUCUUAAAUGUAAGUGUACAUCAGAAAGGACAAACCACUGAUACUUAACAUCCAUGAGUCUAAAGUAGUAACCAACCAAGAAAACUCUACUUCCACCUAUGUUAACCUAACACAAGAACAUUUAAAGAAAGAUUAAAAGAAAAAGAAGGAACUCGGCAAAUAUUAACCUCGCCUGUUUACCAAAAACAUCGCCUCUUGAAUUUUAUAAGAGGUCCAGCCUGCCCAGUGACUCUAUUCAACGGCCGCGGUAUACUAACCGUGCGAAGGUAGCGUAAUCACUUGUUCUUUAAAUGUGGACUAGUAUGAAUGGCACCACGAAGGUUAUACUGUCUCCUUUUUCUAAUCAGUGAAACUAAUCUCCCCGUGAAGAAGCGGGGAUAAAGCUAUAAGAC
rnacentral:rRNA from 1 species